GAUGAACGCUGGCGGCGUGCCUAAUACAUGCAAGUCGAGCGAACAGACGAGGAGCUUGCUCCUCUGACGUUAGCGGCGGACGGGUGAGUAACACGUGGAUAACCUACCUAUAAGACUGGGAUAACUUCGGGAAACCGGAGCUAAUACCGGAUAAUAUAUUGAACCGCAUGGUUCAAUAGUGAAAGACGGUUUUGCUGUCACUUAUAGAUGGAUCCGCGCCGCAUUAGCUAGUUGGUAAGGUACAGGCUUACCAAGGCAAGGAUGCGUAGCCGACCUGAGAGGGUGAUAGGCCACACUGGAACUGAGACACGGUCCAGACUCCUACGGGAGGCAGCAGUAGGGAAUCUUCCGCAAUGGGCGAAAGCCUGACGGAGCAACGCCGCGCGAGUGAUGAAGGUCUUCGGAUCGUAAAACUCUGUUAUUAGGGAAGAACAAAUGUGUAAGUAACUAUGCACGUCUUGACGGUACCUAAUCAGAAAGCCACGGCUAACUACGUG
rnacentral:rRNA from 1 species